UUUGAACUUGUCCCAUACUUUUUUGCCAACAACAAUGUAAAUUAUGCUCGAUGGCUUCCAAUACACCUUCGAGACAAGAUGUGCAUUGAGGAGCAACAUCCAGAAGUGGCUGCAGAGUUCCACAAGGGGAACUUUGUAGUACAUAAGUCAGAUAGGGCUUUCUCUGCAGUGGCAAUUGAUCAGGCUCAUGAAUGGCUCAAUGCUGUGAUCAAAGGUGAUGGGGGAGCAGUCGGGCUGACAGAGAACCCAUCAGCACUUCGAAGAUGGAUGUUAGCAGGUCCAGAAGUGAGCCGUCUAGUUGCGAACUAUGAAGCUGUGUCAGGAGCUAAAGAUGUGAAGAAAGGUAAUCAUCACCAUGAACAAACAGAAGCUGCUCAAAAAGCAUUUUUUGAGAAAGUGAAACGACUCACAUCAGUGAUGCGGGAAAUGGGUAACCCUUUCAUGGAAGAAUCAGAUGAUCUGCUUGUGUUGGACACGAAGGACAUUGUUGAUGUCAGUUCAGCUGAGCUGAUAGCAGUACAUCACCAACAAGGCAAAGAAGAGUUCAAGUCUUUUGUGACAGAUCUACAGAACCUUGACAGUCCAUGCUCUUUCUACAAGCCUAUCAAGAAGAAUAUGGUAACUUUCUUCAAGCACAAGCCAGUUGUCAGUGGAACAAACUCCAAGAUGAUGGAACUUAAGGAUGACUACCAACUUUUCUCCCGACUAUUCAUCUCUUGCCAGAACAGGCAGUGUGACUUAAAAGAGUUCUUCAUGCAUGAGAACCAAUCAGCUCCCGCCUCUCUCAGUGAUGGAGGGAAACUCCACACGUGUACCAAAUCACACCUGGCUGAUUUACUACAAGCGAAAGUGACAUUGCCAGAAAAAAAGCCAGAAUCAGAUGUUCUUAUAGUGGAUGGAUCAGCUAUGGUGAAUACACUGCCACCACAUUCAAGCAAGACGUUUGAUGAAUAUGCAAUAAAUGACAUACUUCCAAGAAUAGAAACAUACAGCCAUACAUACAGGCGGACGGACAUUGUGUUCGAUGUUUACUGGAAGUCCAGUCUGAAGUCUGAGGCAAGGUCAAAACGGGGAAAAGCAAUCAGAAGGAGAGUAACAGGCACAGGCAAAACUCCGUCAAACUGGCAAAGCUUCCUACGGGAUGAAAACAACAAGCAGGAAU
ensembl:lncRNA